GACGAACGCUGGCGGCGUGCUUAACACAUGCCAGUCGAACGGAAAGGCCCUGCUUUUGUGGGGUGCUCGAGUGGCGAACGGGUGAGUAACACGUGAGUAACCUGCCCUUGACUUUGGGAUAACUUCAGGAAACUGGGGCUAAUACCGGAUAGGAGCUCCUGCUGCAUGGUGGGGGUUGGAAAGUUUCGGCGGUUGGGGAUGGACUCGCGGCUUAUCAGCUUGUUGGUGGGGUAGUGGCUUACCAAGGCUUUGACGGGUAGCCGGCCUGAGAGGGUGACCGGCCACAUUGGGACUGAGAUACGGCCCGGACUCCUACGGGAGGCAGCAGUGGGGAAUAUUGCACAAUGGGCGGAAGCCUGAUGCAGCAACGCCGCGUGCGGGAUGACGGCCUUCGGGUUGUAAACCGCUUUCGCCUGUGACGAAGCGUGAGUGACGGUAAUGGGUAAAGAAGCACCGGAUAACUACGUG
rnacentral:rRNA from 1 species